AUGACAAAGAUCCAGGUUAACGGGGGACUAUCAAGGGACGAAAGUAGUGGGGCAGCUGCAACAGUGUGCCGAGACCAUACAGGUCUGUUCUUGGGCUCCUCGGGGAUGGUUUUUACUGACAUAAACGACCCGGCGACCUUGGAGGCACUCGCGUGCCGCGAAGCCUUGGCUCUUGCAUUGGAUCUAUCACUCGACAGAGUUGUCAUUGCAUGUGAUUGCAAAUCAGUGGUAGAGGAGAUAAAGAAUGGCACCGAAGGAAGGUAUAGCACCAUUAUAAAGGAGAUUCGUGCCCAAUCCAGAGAUUUCUCGAGUUGCGAAUUUAUUUUUAAAAGUUGUAGUUUGAAUUUUGAUGCUCACAGUUUAGCUAAGUUUUCUUCUUCUUUAUCUGGUGGUCGCCACUAG
rnacentral:rRNA from 1 species